rnacentral:rRNA from 1 species
GGUAAUACGUAUGUCGCAAGCGUUAUCCGGAAUUAUUGGGCAUAAAGGGCAUCUAGGCGGCCAGACAAGUCUGGGGUGAAAACUUGCGGCUCAACCGCAAGCCUGCCCUGGAAACUGUUUGGCUAGAGUGCUGGAGAGGUGGACGGAACUGCACGAGUAGAGGUGAAAUUCGUAGAUAUGUGCAGGAAUGCCGAUGAUGAAGAUAGUUCACUGGACGGUAACUGACGCUGAAGUGCGAAAGCUGGGGGAGCGAACAGGAUUAGAUACCCUGGUAGUCCCAGCCGUAAACGAUGAUUACUGGGUGUGGGCAUGAAGAGUGUCCGUGCCGAAGCUAAUGCGAUAAGUAAUCCGCCUGGGGAGUACGGCCGCAAGGCUGAAACUCAAAGGAAUUGACGGGGACCCGCACAAGCGGUGGAGCAUGUGGUUUAAUUCGACGCAACGCGAGGAACCUUACCAGAUCUUGACAUCCC